rnacentral:sRNA from 1 species
UGCCUUAAAAGGAGAUGCUGUGCAGUC